rnacentral:rRNA from 1 species
GACGAACGCUGGCGGCGUGCUUAACACAUGCAAGUCGAACGAUGAACCAGGGCUUGCCCUGGGGAUUAGUGGCGAACGGUGAGUAACACGUGGGCAACCUGCCCCAGACACCGGGAUAACCUCUCGAAAGAGUGGCUAAUACCGGAUAUGACCACUUCGGGCAUCCGACGGUGGUGGAAAGGAUUCUGGUCUGGGAUGGGCCCGCGGCCUAUCAGCUAGUUGGUGGGGUAAUGGCCUACCAAAGCGACGACGGGUAGCCGGCCUGAGAGGGCGACCGGCCACACUGGGACUGAGACACGGCCCAGACUCCUACGGGAGGCAGCAGUGGGGAAUAUUGCGCAAUGGGCGAAAGCCUGACGCAGCGACGCCGCGUGAGGGACGAAGGUCUUCGGAUUGUAAACCUCUUUCAGCAGGGACGAAGCGAAAGUGACUGUACCUGCAGAAGAAGCACCGGCUAACUACGUGCCAGCAGCCGCG